CAAUUUGGGUCAUAAGCCCAAAUCAACUAAUUGGAGAUUAGAGAGAACGAAAUUAGGGUGAGAUUAGAGUAAGAGCGUGCAGCGGCGUGCAGAGAAAUAGAGAGAGAAAGUAAGGUUUCUGAGUUUUUCUGCUUGACGAUCGGUGGCCAAACGUUGUCAGUUUCGGCCCAAAUUUUAUGUGGAGAAUCCUUGCAGCAAA
rnacentral:lncRNA from 1 species